GCCCAAAUAGUGGGAGGAUGUCUGCAUUUUACCUAAUUUUUUAAUUGAUUUAUUACUUGUAAAUACAGUACGUGGAUCGAUAACACCGCCACAGGCUGGGGAUAAAUUCGUGGUCGGGGACGCAGUGUUCCACCGCUUCAGUCUGAAGAUUCCAGAGUGGUGGAAGCUUCGAUUUGAUAUUUCCCUUCCACCACCUCUUGGCGGAGUUACUAGGGGUCUUUUCAUAGAGGCAAAGCUCUUUUACAGCACAAUUCGGAUUGCGCAUAGAAGUUUUACAGAUGGGACAUGCCUCCAGCUCAAAUGAGCCCUGCUGCCGGCCAGGUGGAUUAGGCUACAGCUCGAAAAAGAAGAAGCCAACAUGACUUUCCAAUGAGAUAGUUGGGUAGGAGGAUCAGCUGGACAGGCCAUCCAACUUGGUGCAGGAAAAUUUUCAAAAGCUGGUGGAUAAGCAUACCAAUUAGUGCGCCACCCAAGACGGGAAGGAUUGUGGCUAACACCAGUAGGUGGAUG